rnacentral:misc_RNA from 1 species
GAUGAAGAACGCAGCGAAAUGCGAUACUUGGUGUGAAUUGCAGAAUCCCGUGAACCAUCGAGUCUUUGAACGCAAGUUGCGCCCGAAGCCACUAGGCCGAGGGCACGCCUGCCUGGGCGUCACACGUCGUUGCCCCCCCAUCUACUCCUUCGGGAUUGCGGGGGGGCGGAUGAUGGCCUCCCGUGCGCCUAGCCGCGCGGUUGGCAUAAAUACCAAGUCCUCGGCGACGCACGCCACGACAAUCGGUGGUUGCGAAACCUCGGUUGCCCGUCGUGUGCGUUCGUCGCGCAUCGAGGGCUCGAAAAAAUGCUCGGCUCCGGCUGGGCUUUCAACGCGACCCCAGGUCAGGCGGGGUUACCCGCUGAAUUUAAGCAUAUCAAUAGCGGAGGA